AACGAACGCUGGCGGCAUGCCUAACACAUGCAAGUCGAACGAGACCUUCGGGUCUAGUGGCGCACGGGUGCGUAACGCGUGGGAACCUGCCCUUAGGUUCGGAAUAACUCCCCGAAAGGGGUGCUAAUACCGGAUAAUGUCUUCGGACCAAAGAUUUAUCGCCUUUGGAUGGGCCCGCGUUGGAUUAGCUAGUUGGUAGGGUAAAAGCCUACCAAGGCGACGAUCCAUAGCUGGUCUGAGAGGAUGAUCAGCCACACUGGGACUGAGACACGGCCCAGACUCCUACGAGAGGCAGCAGUGGGGAAUAUGGGACAAUGGGCGAGAGCCUGAUCCAGCAAGGCCGCGUGAGUGAUGAAGGCCUUAGGGUUGUAAAGCUCUUUUACCCGGGAUGAUAAGGACAGUACCGGGAGAAUAAGCUCCGGCUAACUCCGG
rnacentral:rRNA from 1 species